rnacentral:rRNA from 1 species
CAGCUGCAACUCGCCUGUAUGAAGUCGGAAUUGCUAGUAAUCGCGGAUCAGCAUGCCGCGGUGAAUACGUUCCCGGGCCUUGUACACACCGCCCGUCACACCAUGAGAGUCGGUAACACCCGAAGCCUGUAGUCUAACCGUGAGGAGGACGCAGUCGAAGGUGGGAUUGAUGACUGGGGUGAAGUCGUAACAAGGUACC